rnacentral:rRNA from 1 species
GCUUGUCUCAAAGAUUAAGCCAUGCAUGUCUAAGUGUAAAUAAGUCUAUACUGUGAAACUGCGAAUGGCUCAUUAAAUCAGUUAUCGUUUAUUUGAUGAUCUCUUACUACUUGGAUAACCGUAGUAAUUCUAGAGCUAAUACAUGCAUCAAGCCCCGACUUCUGGAAGGGGUGUAUUUAUUAGAUGGAAACCAAUGCGGGGCAACCCGGUAUAUGGUGAUUCAUAAUAACUUUCGGAUCGAUUUAUCGAUGCAUCAUUCAAGUUUCUGCCCUAUCAGCUUUGGAUGGUAGGGUAUUGGCCUACCAUGGCUUUAACGGGUAACGGAGAAUUAGGGUUCGAUUCCGGAGAGGGAGCCUGAGAAAUGGCUACCACAUCCAAGGAAGGCAGCAGG